rnacentral:rRNA from 1 species
AAGCGGUUGGCCCCUGGUCGGAAGUUGGCUUCGUUUUAAAUUAUACAUGGAAUUUGAAGAGAGGAGGGAGUAAAGUUUCUACGGUCAACUUUAAUUGUGUUAAAAAGAAGGUAUUAUAGCUGUGUGGAAGUGCGUCUAUAGGAGGUUGUGGAAGUAUAAGUUGUAAAAAUUUUAUUAAUAAAAAAUAUAUGAGGAAUCCCGUCUCCAGUGAGGAAAAUUGAAUUAAGCUGGAAACAGUGUGGCGGUUAGAGCACAACUAGGAGUGUUAAACAAGGUGCCAGCACUCGCGGUUAAACCUUGGCUCCAAGUCAAUUAUUGUCGUAGAGAAGUUAUAGAAAAGAAAGAGGUGUAGAGUAGUUAAAGGUCGGUUAAAUGAUAACCGUUUUCUAUUGCGAAGGUAUGAACUCUUAAGCUAGAAUCUGAGAAGGCUGACAAGGAGACCAGGAUUCGAGACCCUGUUAUCAAAGUUGUCUUUGUGGUCUACGUGUAUUACGGGCUUUUUGCUUAAAACACAAAGGGGUUGGCGGUACCUUACAUCCUGUUAGGGGAACUUGGCGGUUAAUUCGAUAUUCCUCGUAAAACUUUUCCCUUAUUUUUCUUGUCAUACCGCCGUCGAAAGUUUGUCUUGAAGAGAGAAGUCUGAGGCUCAAAACAACAUGGUAAGGUUGUUUUACGUCAGGUAAACGUGAUGGAGUGUAAGGGGCUAGCUGAGUUACAGUUGUCGUUCAUGAUGGAAAAUAAGAGGAAGAUUCUUGUUGGAAAGUGCACUUGCUAGUAAACAUUUGUAAGAGAGGAGUGUUGAACAGAGUACAUAGGGUGCGUACAAACCGCCCAAUGCUCUCGUAUAAUAAAAUUGAGAUAAGUUGAAACAUGGUAAUGGUAAUAAAAAUUGUUGUUGAUGAUUAUAAACA